UUGAUCUCCCAUGUCUUCAAUUAUGU
rnacentral:misc_RNA from 1 species